GCAGUAGCCGCGGUAAUACGAAGGGGGCUAGCGUUGUUCGGAAUUACUGGGCGUAAAGCGCACGUAGGCGGAUAUUUAAGUCAGGGGUGAAAUCCCAGAGCUCAACUCUGGAACUGCCUUUGAUACUGGGUAUCUUGAGUAUGGAAGAGGUGAGUGGAAUUCCGAGUGUAGAGGUGAAAUUCGUAGAUAUUCGGAGGAACACCAGUGGCGAUGGCGGCUCACUGGUCCAUUACUGACGCUGAGGUGCGAAAGCGUGGGGAGCAAACAGGAUUAGAUACCCCAGUAGUCCCUGUCUCUUAUAC
rnacentral:rRNA from 1 species